ensembl:lncRNA novel transcript
GGCCUCUGAGGUGCUACAUCCCAAGGAGGCCAUGGGAGGCUUUAAUUCGGGGUGAGGGGGUGGCCGGUGGGUUGAGUGCCCUUUCCAUGUUCCUGAACGCCCUGGUGUUGCCAGGUCCUUACUGGGCUGAGGCCUGGCUACAAGGCAACUCAGAUGGCACCAGUUCAGGGUGGGCAUUCCCAUCUGGGACUCCAGGCAGGGUCUUCCCUGCGGUUUCUCCCUGGCAGCCCCUGUGGGAGACAGUUUCUUCCACCAGCCUGGCUCCCUGGGCCACCUGCACAGAGGUCCCUGCUGGCACCCUGGCCAGUCCAGUGCCAGGCCGUCCUCCCGCCACCCCGCUUCCCAGAUCUCUGGGAGCUCCUAGAAAGUGCUGCCACCAUCUGAACCACAUGGGGCUCUGAGCAGGCUUGAGGCUUGUUCGGGUGUAGUUGUGUGUGCCUGUAAUUCCAGCUACUUGGGAGGCUGAGGCAGGAGAAUCGCUUGAGCCCAGGAGGCGGAGGUUGCAGUGAGCCAAGGACUACAGGCGCACACUACCACGCCCAGCUAAUUUUUGUAGAGAUGGGGGUUUCGCCAUGUUGCCCAGGCUGGGCAGUGUGUCUUGUUAGAGAAGACAGCUGAGGAGGACAUCGCCCUGCUUUACGUCCUGUGUUGUAAAGGCUUCUUUUGUCCUCCACAAAAACUGUAGCAACAAAUCCUCAAAACUAAAAAAACUUCCCUCUGCCA